rnacentral:rRNA from 1 species
UACGAAGGGGGCUAGCGUUGCUCGGAAUCACUGGGCGUAAAGCGCACGUAGGCGGCUUUCUAAGUCAGGGGUGAAAUCCUGGAGCUCAACUCCAGAACUGCCUUUGAUACUGGAGAGCUUGAGUCCGGAAGAGGUGAGUGGAACUCCGAGUGUAGAGGUGAAAUUCGUAGAUAUUCGGAAGAACACCAGUGGCGAAGGCGGCUCACUGGUCCGGUACUGACGCUGAUGUGCGAAAACGUGGGGAGCAAACAGG